rnacentral:rRNA from 1 species
CAGAACGAACGCUGGCAGCGUGGAUUAGGCAUGCAAGUCGGACGGGAUCGGGAAGGUAGCAAUAUCGGCCCGUGAGAGUGGCGGAAGGGCGAGGAACACGUGGGCAACCUGUCCUUGAAGGUGGGGAAAACCGCUGGAAACGGCGGCUAAUACCGAAUGUGGCGCCGGGAGGCAUCUUCCGAGCGCUAAAGGGGGCGAAAGCUCCCCCUCUUCGAGGGGCUCGCGCACCAUCAGCUUGUUGGCGGGGUAACGGCCCACCAAGGCUCACGGUUAGCUGGUCUGAGAGGAUGGCCAGCCGCACUGGGACUGAGAUACUGCCCAGACUCCUACGGGAGGCUGCAGUCGAGGAUCACUCGCAAUGGGGGAAACCCUGACGAUGCGACGCUGCCGUGGAGGAUGAAGGCCCUCGGGUCGUAAACUCCUGUCAUGAGGGAAAAGGCGAGGGGACCCAACACGUCCCUUAGUUGAUGGUACCUCAAGAGGAACGGGCGGCUAACUCUGUGCCAGCCGCGGC